CCAGUUUUGCUCCAAGGACCAAUCUAAGACCUGUUGGAAAAUCCGCAGGACUUGUCGAAGGUGACAGUACCAUGAGUCUUCGGACAAAUGGAUAGUGACCCUAAUCAGACCUCCAAGAAAAUUUCCUAAACUUAUGAUUGUACCGCCCGUACCGUAAACCGACACAGGUAGUCGAGAAGAAUAUUCUAAGGUGCUCGAGUGAAUCAUGGCUAAGGAACUCGGCAAAUUGACCCUGUAACUUCGGGAUAAAGGGUGCCCCCCUCGCGGGGGGCCGCAGUGAAAUGGCUCAGGCGACUGUUUAACAAAAACACAUGGCUAUGCUAAAUCGAAAGAUGAUGUACAUGGCCUGACACCUGCCCGGUGCUGGAAGGUUAAGAGGAGAUGUCAGUCGCAAGACAAAGCAUUGAAUCGAAGCCCCAGUAAACGGCGGCCGUAACAAUAACGGUCCUAAGGUAGCGAAAUUCCUUGUCGGGUAAGCUCCGACCUGCACGAAUGGUGUAACGAUCUGAGCACUGUCUCAGUCAUGAGCUCGGUGAAAUUGUAGUAACGGUGAAGAUGCCGUUUACCCGCAACGGGACGGAAAGACCCCGUGCACCUUCACUACAACUUUACAUUGAUUCUGGAUAAAUGAUGUGUAGGAUAGGUGGGAGACUUUGAAGCGGUGGCGCUAGCCAUCGUGGAGUCAACCUUGAAAUACCACCCUUUAUUUAUUCGGAGUCUAACCCCGAUCAUUCGGGGGACAUUGUAUGGUGGGUAGUUUGACUGGGGUGGUCGCCUCCAAAAGAGUAACGGAGGCUUUCAAAGGUACCCUCAGCACGCUUGGUAACCGUGCGCGGAGUGCAAUAGCAUAAGGGUGCUUGACUGUGAGACAUACAAGUCGAGCAGGGUCGAAAGACGGAUAUAGUGAUCCGGUGGUUCCGCAUGGAAGGGCCAUCGCUCAAAGGAUAAAAGGUACGCCGGGAUAGCAGGCUGAUCUCCCCCAAGAGCUCACAUCGACGGGGAGGUUUGGCACCUCGAUGUCGGCUCGUCACAUCCUGGGGCUGGAGAAGGUCCCAAGGGUUCGGCUGUUCGCCGAUUAAAGUGGCACGCGAGCUGGGUUCAGAACGUCGUGAGACAGUUCGGUCCCUAUCUGUUGUGGGCGUUGGAAGUUUGAGAGGACCUGACUCUAGUACGAGAGGACCGAGUCGGACGUACCUCUAGUGUACCAGUUGUUCCGCCAGGGGCAUCGCUGGGUAGCUAUGUACGGUUGAGAUAAGCGCUGAAAGCAUCUAAGCACGAAACUCGCCUCAAGAUGAUACUUCCUUUAAGGGUCGUCAGAGACUAUGACGUUGAUAGGUUGCAAGUGUAAAGUCAGUAAUGACAAAGCUGAGCAAUACUAAUUGCCCUA
rnacentral:rRNA from 1 species